rnacentral:rRNA from 1 species
UACGAAGGGGGCUAGCGUUGCUCGGAAUUACUGGGCGUAAAGCGCACGUAGGCGGAUUGUUAAGUCGGGGGUGAAAUCCUGGAGCUCGACUCCAGAACUGCCUUCGAUACUGGCGAUCUCGAGUUCGGGAGAGGUGAGUGGAACUGCGAGUGUAGAGGUGAAAUUCGUAGAUAUUCGCAAGAACACCAGUGGCGAAGGCGGCUCACUGGCCCGAUACUGACGCUGAGGUGCGAAAGCGUGGGGAGCAAACAGG